GAUGAACGCUGGCGGCGUGCCUAAUACAUGCAAGUCGAGCGAAUGGAUUAAGAGCUUGCUCUUAUGAAGUUAGCGGCGGACGGGUGAGUAACACGUGGGUAACCUGCCCAUAAGACUGGGAUAACUCCGGGAAACCGGGGCUAAUACCGGAUAACAUUUUAAACCGCAUGGUUCGAAAUUGAAAGGCGGCUUCGGCUGUCACUUAUGGAUGGACCCGCGUCGCAUUAGCUAGUUGGUGAGGUAACGGCUCACCAAGGCAACGAUGCGUAGCCGAACUGAGAGGGUGAUCGGCCACCCUGGGACUGAGACACGGCCCAGACUCCUACGGGAGGCAGCAGUAGGGAAUCUUCCGCAAUGGACGAAAGUCUGACGGAGCAACGCCGCGUGAGUGAUGGAGGCUUUCGGGUCGUAAAACUCUGUUGUUAGGGAAGAACAAGUGCUAGUUGAAUAAGCUGGCACCUUGACGGUACCUAACCAGAAAGCCACGGCUAACUACGUGCCAGCCGCCGCCGUAA
rnacentral:rRNA from 1 species